rnacentral:rRNA from 1 species
GAGAAAUUCCAAUCGAACUUGGAGAUAGCUGGUUCUCUCCGAAAUAGCUUUAGGGCUAGCCUCGAGGUAAAGAGUCAUGGAGGUAGAGCACUGUUUGGACUAGGGGCCCUUCUCGGGUUACCGAAUUCAGAUAAACUCCGAAUGCCAUGUACUUAUACUCGGGAGUCAGACUGCGAGUGAUAAGAUCCGUAGUCGAAAGGGAAACAGCCCAGACCACCAGUUAAGGUCCCCAAAUAUAUGUUAAGUGGAAAAGGAUGUGGGGUUGCUUAGACAACCAGGAUGUUGGCUUAGAAGCAGCCACCAUUGAAAGAGUGCGUAAUAGCUCACUGGUCGAGUGACCCCGCGCCGAAAAUGUACCGGGGCUAAACAUAUUACCGAAACUGUGGAUGAACCUCUUUAGAGGUUCGUGGUAGGAGAGCGUUCUAAGGGCGGUGAAGUCAGACCGGAAGGACUGGUGGAGCGCUUAGAAGUGAGAAUGCCGGUAUGAGUAGCGAAAGAAGGGUGAGAAUCCCUUCCACCGAAUAUCUAAGGUUUCCUGAGGAAGGCUCGUCCGCUCAGGGUUAGUCGGGACCUAAGCCGAGGCCGAUAGGCGUAGGCGAUGGACAACAGGUAGAGAUUCCUGUACCAGUGCUAAUUGUUUAACCGAUGGGGUGACACAGAAGGAUAGGGAAUCGCACGAAUGGAAAUGUGCGUCCAAGCAGUGAGUGUGAGAAGUAGGCAAAUCCGCUUCUCGCGAAGCAUGAGCUGUGAUGGGGAAGGAAAUUAAGUACGGAAGUUCCUGAUUUCACGCUGUCAAGAAAAGCCUCUAGGAAGAGUAGUACUGCCCGUACCGCAAACCGACACAGGUAGAUGAGGAGAGAAUCCUAAGGUGAGCGAGAGAACUCUCGUUAAGGAACUCGGCAAAAUGACCCCGUAACUUCGGGAGAAGGGGUGCUCUAUUAGGGUGCAAGCCCGAGAGAGCCGCAGUGAAUAGGCCCAGGCGACUGUUUAGCAAAAACACAGGUCUCUGCAAAACCGUAAGGUGACGUAUAGGGGCUGACGCCUGCCCGGUGCUGGAAGGUUAAGAGGAGUGCUUAGCUUCGGCGAAGGUACGAAUUGAAGCCCCAGUAAACGGCGGCCGUAACUAUAACGGUCCUAAGGUAGCGAAAUUCCUUGUCGGGUAAGUUCCGACCCGCACGAAAGGCGCAACGAUCUGGGCACUGUCUCAACGAGAGACUCGGUGAAAUUAUAGUACCUGUGAAGAUGCAGGUUACCCGCGACAGGACGGAAAGACCCCGUGGAGCUUUACUGCAACCUGAUAUGGAAUGUUUGUACCGCUUGUACAGGAUAGGUAGGAGCCGAAGAGACGUGUGCGCUAGCAUACGAGGAGGCAAUGGUGGGAUACUACCCUGGCUGUAUGACCAUUCUAACCCGCCACGCUUAGCGCGUGGGGAGACAGUGUCAGGUGGGCAGUUUGACUGGGGCGGUCGCCUCCUAAAGAGUAACGGAGGCGCCCAAAGGUUCCCUCAGAAUGGAUGGAAAUCAUUCGCAGAGUGUAAAGGCACAAGGGAGCUUGACUGCGAGACUGACAAGUCGAGCAGGGACGAAAGUCGGGCUUAGUGAUCCGGUGGUUCCGCAUGGAAGGGCCAUCGCUCAACGGAUAAAAGCUACCCCGGGGAUAACAGGCUUAUCUCCCCCAAGAGUCCACAUCGACGGGGAGGUUUGGCACCUCGAUGUCGGCUCGUCGCAUCCUGGGGCUGUAGUCGGUCCCAAGGGUUGGGCUGUUCGCCCAUUAAAGCGGCACGCGAGCUGGGUUCAGAACGUCGUGAGACAGUUCGGUCCCUAUCCGUCGCGGGCGCAGGAAAUUUGAGAGGAGCUGUCCUUAGUACGAGAGGACCGGGAUGGACACACCGCUGGUGUACCAGUUGUUCCGCCAGGAGCAUCGCUGGGUAGCUAUGUGUGGCAGGGAUAAACGCUGAAAGCAUCUAAGCGUGAAGCCCCCCUCAAGAUGAGAUUUCCCAUUUCUUCGGAAAGUAAGAUCCCUGAAAGAUGAUCAGGUAGAUAGGUUUGGAGUGGAAGUGUAGCGAUACAUGGAGCGGACAAAUACUAAUCGAUCGAGGACUUAACCAA